GCACUUUUAGCUCAGCAGGUAGAGCAACUGACUCUUAAUCAGCAGGUCCAGGGUUCGAGUCCCUGAAAGUGCA
rnacentral:tRNA from 1 species